CACGGGGGGAGCAAGCGUUGUUCGGAAUCACUGGGCGUAAAGGGCGUGUAGGCGGUCAGGUAAGUGGGAUGUGAAAUGCCCCGGCUCACCCGGGGCACUGCAUUCCAAACUGCCGGGCUUGAGUAUGGGAGAGGAUGAGGGAAUUCCUGGUGUGGCGGUGAAAUGCGUAGAUAUCAGGAGGAACACCAGUGGCGAAGGCGCUCAUCUGGCCCAAUACUGACGCUGAGGCGCGAAAGCUAGGGGAGCAAACGGG
rnacentral:rRNA from 1 species